CUCCUCGUAGCUUAGUGAUAGAGUACUGGUGGGUAAAACCAUGGUUCCGGGUUCGAUUCCCGGCGAGGAAG
rnacentral:tRNA from 1 species